rnacentral:rRNA from 1 species
AGUGAACGCUGGCGGUAGGCCUAACACAUGCAAGUCGAACGGCAGCACAGUAAGAGCUUGCUCUUACGGGUGGCGAGUGGCGGACGGGUGAGGAAUACAUCGGAAUCUACUUUUUCGUGGGGGAUAACGUAGGGAAACUUACGCUAAUACCGCAUACGACCUACGGGUGAAAGCAGGGGAUCUUCGGACCUUGCGCGAUUGAAUGAGCCGAUGUCGGAUUAGCUAGUUGGCGGGGUAAAGGCCCACCAGGGCGACGAUCCGUAGCUGAUCUGAGAGGAUGAUCAGCCACACUGGAACUGAGACACGGUCCAGACUCCUACAGGAGGCAGCAGUGGAGAAUAUUAGACAAUGGGCGCGAGCCUGAUCCAGCCAUACCGCGUGGGUGAAGAAGGCCUUCGGGUUGUAAAGCCCUUUUGUUGGGAAAGAAAAGCAGCAGGUUAAUACCCCGCUGUUCUGACGGUACCCAAAGAAUAAGCACCGGCUAACUUCGUG